ACUCAACACUAACAAAUUAAAAUGAGUAAAUCUUUGCUGCUAAAGCAUGCUGCCCUGCGCAGAUCCUUGAUACAGCAAGUUAGCUCAAAACUUGUCGACACGAGUUU
rnacentral:sRNA from 1 species